rnacentral:rRNA from 1 species
AGAGUUUGAUCCUGGCUCAGGAUUAACGCUGGCGGUAUGCCUAACACAUGCAAGUCGAACGGAAUACUCGAAAAGAGAAUCUCACACUAGUGAGAGGUUCUCCAACCGAGUAUUUAGUGGCGGACGGGUGAGUAACACGUUGGAACCUGCCCCGAAGUGGGGAAUAACUGCUCGAAAGAGUAGCUAAUACCCCAUAGUAUCCGGUUUAUCCGGAUUAAAGAUUUAUCGCUGCGGGAGGGGCCUGCGUCUGAUUAGCUUGUUGGUGGGGUAAAAGCUCACCAAGGCGACGAUCAGUAGCUGGUUCGAGAGGGUGACCAGCCACACUGGGACUGAGAUACGGCCCAGACUCCUACGGGAGGCAGCAGUGAGGAAUCUUCCACAAUGGACGAAAGUCUGAUGGAGCAAUACCGCGUGCAGGACGACGCUUUUCGGAGUGUAAACUGCUUUUGUCGUCGAAGAUUAUGACUGUAGACGAAGAAUAAGGACCGGCUAACUACGUG